rnacentral:rRNA from 1 species
AUUGAACGCUGGCGGCAUGCCUUACGCAUGCCAGUCGAACGGCAGCACGGGUGCUUGCACCUGGUGGCGAGUGGCGAACGGGUGAGUAAUACAUCGGAACAUGUCCUGUAGUGGGGGAUAGCCCGGCGAAAGCCGGAUUAAUACCGCAUACGAUCUACGGAUGAAAGCGGGGGACCUUCGGGCCUCGCGCUAUAGGGUUGGCCGAUGGCUGAUUAGCUAGUUGGUGGGGUAAAGGCCUACCAAGGCGACGAUCAGUAGCUGGUCUGAGAGGACGACCAGCCACACUGGGACUGAGACACGGCCCAGACUCCUACGGAAGGCAGCAGUGGGGAAUUUUGGACAAUGGGCGAAAGCCUGAUCCAGCAAUGCCGCGUGUGUGAAGAAGGCCUUCGGGUUGUAAAGCACUUUUGUCCGGAAAGAAAUCCUUGGCUCUAAUACAGUCGGGGGAUGACGGUACCGGAAGAAUAAGCACCGGCUAACUACGUG